rnacentral:lncRNA from 1 species
UUUAUUUAUUCAUUUGACAGAGAGGAAGACACAGCAGGGUGAGUGGGAAAGGAAGAAGCAAGCUUCCUGCCAAGCAGGGAGCCCAAAGCAGGCCUUGAUCCCAGGACACUGAGAUCAUGACUUGAGCCAAAGGCCAACACUUAACCCACUGAGGCACCCAGGCACCCUACGUGAUGGAUCUAAUUCCGGUUCCAUGAUAGACAGGGCCCCUGGUUGCCUGGACUGGGAGAGGCACAAAAGGGAAGAUAAAAGUUCAACUGGAAAUAACCAACUGUGGGAUCCUUAAAGUGCUGAGUGACAAGCAAGCCCAUUCUGCUAUGAAGGUCCAGGAAAUGACGCUGCGUCAGACCAGGUGACUCGGGAAUCAAAGACAGAACUGGAAGCACUUGCAGCUGAGCUUGGAAGAUGAGAGUAGACACUACCUUUUCCAAAAUGAUUGUCACCAAAAUAAUAGGACUACAGCAAGGAGGUUUUAUGAUGCUUUGAGGGAGACGUUCCUUGUGUUGAGAGGCUUGGCACUUGGAGAAGCUUGCCCAGGAAAGAUGACAUAAAGCCUAUCCUCAUCCUCCAUGAAAGCCACAGUUCCUGGGUCACUAAGGAUGGACAGAACCAAGCCCUGCCCGAGCUCUUGCAUCAUGGGAACAUGAUCGAAGGCAGCAGGGCAGACAGCGUAAGUGGCUCACAGCUGAAUCUGCUACCACUUACCUUGGUGUUUUGGGACAUAUAAUGUAUAUUCCUGGGCUUUAGUUUUAGCACGAAAGAAAUUAAAGAUUUGGGGGAAAGAAGAUUUUCCAAACACAGCUCUGACUGCUUCUCUUUGUGCUUGCUUUCCAUCAGGCAGAAUUCUGGAGAGGGGCUUAUCUGGUUGGGCUAUGGUUUCAGCUGUCUUUGCAUUGUUAGAUUCAUGUGACUCAUUUGUCCAGAUAGAAUAUGAAUAGACUUUUGUGUUUGGAUCUUAUGUCCAAAGCAGGUAUAUGUCCUCCAUGCUUUUUUCUCCCACCCAUUAGCUGAAUGGGAAGGAAUCCCAGGACCUAAAGGAAACAGAAGCCAGAUUAGACAAACCUAAGUCCUUGAAUGACCAUGAGCGAACCCACCCACCAACCAGCGUUUGAUUCUACAUAAGCAAAAAAUGAUUUUCUAUUCUUGUUCAGCCACUGAGAUUUCUAGGAUUAUUUGUAACAGCAACCAACAGAUCAUAAAUUUCUCAUUACCUUUGAAUCUAAUUUGAGCUUUGGACUAGUAGCCCCUGACAUGCCCAUCCAAACUUGAAUCCUUUCCAGUCAGAGGGGUCAGAUGCCAAGGAUGCAGUUUUUGUUUUUUCUUUCCUUAGAAAUAUAUAUAUAUAUAUAUAUAUAUAUAUAUAUAUAUAAAAUUUUUGUUUUAAUCAGAUGAAAGAAGUGUGGGACUCACCAUAGCAUCUGUCUGUUUGAGCGCAUAAGAGAGGUUAGAAGUAGUGUUAAAAACAGAUAAUCUGACUCAGUGGUAAUUGGGGAUUAGACCCCACUGUGCUAAAUAAGGUAGAGGUCAAGGUUAAAAGCAAAGAUUUAAACAUAACAUUGGUGAGGUCAAAAUCAGAAUUAGAGACACCACAACUUAGAGGGAAAACCUUGGAAUUAUAAGGAGAGAGAUGCAGAGUCUUACAGACAAAGGAACACCACAUGCACAAGUGAGUAACAGAAGUGGGUUAAUACCUAUGGAAUUAAGAUCAGAAAUAGAGACAUAAAAAU